AGGAACCAACAAAACAGCACAGGGUCAUUCUACCCCACACUGACUAUGGGCUGGCUGGGAGCUCUGUUCCUGUCUGUCCCCUCAUUCUGGGGACUAGCAGCCACCGUCCCAGGGGUACAGCUUCACACCUUUGUCAUUUCUGCUCAUUCUUCAGGAGCCAAAGCUCAUGCCUGGGGCCUCUGUGGGGUGUGGGCGGCUGGCACACACACACCGUGUGCCCCGGAGAAGACGGUCUGUGAUGCCCUCAACGUUCAACCCGGUACAUUUUGCAAUGGAUAUACUUGGGCGGGCAAAGUUCUACGGGAAGGGGGAAUAAGGCAGAGCAUCCAGCCACAAAGGGUCAACUUGCUGGGUCCUUUUUAAGUGGACCGGGGCACUUACAACGUGCUGGGAACCAGUAGUUGUAAACAAGAAGAAAAACGGUAGGCAACUUAAAGUAAGUGACAGUACACGGCUUCCAAAUUUCCUUUCCAGGAUCCCCAAGCACAGAACUUAAGCCCAGCGUACCUGCUUGCAGGAACCUCUUCGCUCAGUUUCCCCAGGAGUCCUCGCUGCUGUAGGUGGCCUGGCCUCCUGUAGGCGGGGACUCUGUCAAGGGCAGACCCCGUGCGCUUUACCCUGUGCUCAGCAGAGCCUCCGGCUUGGUCACCGGACCUGGCCUCCCACCUUGUCUCCUGCCUGCUCCAGGCCCAGCGAAGCUGCACUCAGUGCCCUCCUGCCCAGGUGCACCGAGUCCUCUGCAGAAUGACCCCAUCUGGUCUCCCACCACCCCCGAUAACCCCUCUGGACCGUUGCUGAAGAGUAUCCUGGCCUGGGACACCCGCCCUGCGCGACGGACGCCAGCCCAGCUCCUGGCUGCCUGUAGGACCCCGAUUGCUUCUGGCGCCUGCCUCUCCACAGUACGAGCCCCGCACCUGUGGCCUCUUGCAAGCGUGGACAUCCAGUCACGGCAGAGCUGGGCAGGGCUGAGCAGGUGCCGCGUCUUCUAAAGAGCUCCCUGCAGUUACGGCUUGAGAGGGCUCCGGAACAUCUCCAUCCUGCCAGUGGUCGCCUGUGCUACCGACCAGCCUCCGCCGCUUUCGACCGGAAGGACAUGACCCUCAGGUGGUGUCACACACACCGUCACCCCCACUCAAAACAGGAAUACCUACGGUGGAGAUGAUGAUGACCAAAUAUUCUUGCCCUUGAAACUCCUCUACUGAUCCAACCUUUAUGUCCAUCAGAUCAACAUUUCGCAAAAGAAUUUUGAUUUUUUCCACCUUUGAAGCAGACAAAAAAAGGACAGAACUUUACAACUCUGACCAUUUCUUUACAUAUUUAAGCACAAGCCAGAUAUUAACCAACAUGCACUGUUGCUUAUCACUUCCAAAUCGUAUUUCAUCUAAGUUGAUUAGGGCACAAAUUCUGAUUUCAGACACAGUGCACUGGGGAAAGGGAGAGGGGGCAGAGUGUCUGGAGUGACGUCUCCCUCUCCCCGCAGGUGCACAUGCCUGCUGCUGGGCGGGCCUGGCCAUCUCAGUGGGGACGGUGCUGGGACCCACAGCCAGGCAGGCUCCAGAGCGCCACACCCCAGGGGCCUGAGGGGCUGGACAGAGGCCCGGAAGCAGGCUCUGCACAACAGCAGCCGGAAGGCAGGGGCAGACGUCUUUGUGAAAGAGCCAGCUCCUGGGGGAAGGGGAGCGGCUGUCACAGAAGCAGGAUGCCGGGUUCUGGAUUGUGUGUCUAGAGACCAAGGUCUCCCAUGGGUGCUGGUGAAGCAAAAACCAGUUUGCAACCUUGGAGAAAAGUGCGCAGAAGACGAAAGCUCAGUGCUAGGGGGAAGCCUGACUGUCCCCCAGGAGGACGCGGAUGGUGGCCCGCUGCCCGCGCCCACUGCCAGGUGCUGUGAAGGGGGCUGUGAACAAGGAAGGAGCAGAGCAGGUGUCGGGAUACGGCACGCGUGAGGCAGAUAAAGUACGCCCGUGCUCCUGCAGACCUCACACUCCGGUGGGCAGACUAACUUCAGUCACGGUCACGUCCGCCACGGCCGCACCAAGGGCCCCGGCGGAGAAGGGCUGCUUGGGGGCGGCCUGCGAUUUGCUGACAGGAGUGGAUGGGCGGUGAUGCACGUGCAGGAAUUGCCAGGCAAAGAGCUGGGUGCUUGGCGAGGGUGGGGAUGCGGGCCCUGCCGGGGAACCACAGGGUGCGGCCCAAACCUUAGGAGCCGGGGCCAGAGCAGACCACGGGGCCUGCAGGGUGGCGGCUGGCUGCAGUCAGGCAGGUGAGCAUACACUCGGGGCCCCCCUCCCUCCCCACGUGUAGGCCUGGGCCCUCUCAGCCAGCCAUCAAAGGAGCGUGCCUCUGCCCCACACGCACGCACAGGUGCUCAGCGUCACCGAUAAUCAGGGAGACACAGGUGAGAGCCACAAGGUCCCCCUCACACAUGGUUUCUACGAAGAAACAAAACAAGCGUCGGGGAGGAUGUGGAGAAACCGGACCCCUGUGCACGGCCCACGGGAAUGUAAAUCGGCACGGUCACUGUGGAAAACGGUGUGGCGGCGCUUCUCAAAGAACGACACCGGAAAUCCGAUGUGAUCCAGCAAUCCCACUCGAGGGUCUCAGAGACAUACCGUAUGCCUGUACCUUGCAGCAUUCCGAACAACAGCUACAACGUGCAGGCGACCCAAGUGUCCGUGAGUGGAUGGACAGAUAAACCAAAGACGGUCCAUCCAGACAAUGGAAUGUUAUUCGGCCUUAGAAGAAAGGAACUUCUCACACCCGUGUCCUGAGGACUUUGUGCUGAGCGAAAUAAGCCAUCACAGAAGACAAUACUGGAAGACUCCACUCAUACGAGGCACCUACAGGAGUCAGAUUCACGGAGCCAGAAAGUAGGUGGUGGGCGCCAGGGGCCUGGGAGCAGGAGGGGCAGUGAGUGUUUAAUGGGGACAGAGUUUCGGUCUGGAAAGAUGGAAAAGUUCUAAUAACUGGAUGCAAAACAAUGUGAAUACGUUUAACACCAAUGAACUGUACAUUUGAAAAUGGCUGAAGUAAAUUUUAUGUCACGUGUUAUUUUGCCACAAUUAAAAAAAAGAGAGAAUACCAGACACAGCAAUUGGACCGUAUUAGCCUUGAGGAUGUCUUUUGCUGUUGUUAAGCCGUACGUAAUUUAUCUGGGGCAGAAGGAGAGGGAGACACAGAAUCCGAAGCAGGCUGCAGGCUCCAGGCUCCGCACCGUCAGCGCAAAGCCCGGUGCGGGGCUUGAACUCACGAACCGUGAGGUCGUGACCUGAGCUGAAG